AUGGAAGGCCUGCUACACUGGGACUUUGCUCCUGGUUUGUCCCUAGCCAAUCAGGUGAGAAGAAAAUUUGGUUCUAUGGUGCACUUCUCUCCUUCUCGUGACACUAAGGAGUUUUUCUUGGUGGUCUCCUUUUCGUCGGCCUCCUUCCCUCUCUCGGUGGAAUCAGUGGGCAUCGCUCUCCAAUGUUGCAUUCGUGGUAUUGCUAUUAGUUUCAAAGUUUCUCCUCUGAGUGCUCGGGUUUUUCGGUUCUCGGUGGCAAAUAACAAGGAUGGAAAUUUUAUUUAUGGUCUCAAAGAUCGUAUCUGGCCGGACUUCAUUUGCCAUUGUCACUUCUUCAAUGGUCGUUUCCAUCGUAGCCAUCUUGGCAAUCUUGGUUGGCAUGCUGAUGAAGAGCUUACAUGCAUUUCGACUCGUAAACCGAUUGCCAUCUCUGCUUGCAUUCCUCCUCCUAACUCUUCGGUGGCUAUGAGUCAUGAUUCGGUGAAAGAAUUAAGCAAGUUUGCAUUAUUACCAAUUCAGAAGAUUGGUAUUCUCCAAUAA
rnacentral:rRNA from 1 species